GAGUUUGAUCAUGGCUCAGAUUGAACGCUGGCGGCAUGCUUUACACAUGCAAGUCGAACGGUAACAGGGAGCUUGCUCCGCUGACGAGUGGCGAACGGGUGAGUAAUGCGUCGGAACGUGCCGAGUAGUGGGGGAUAACACAUUGAAAGGUGUGCUAAUACCGCAUACGUACUGAGGUAGAAAGUGGGGGACCUUCGGGCCUCACGCUAUUCGAGCGGCCGACGUCUGAUUAGCUAGUAGGUGAGGUAAAGGCUCACCUAGGCGACGAUCAGUAGCGGGUCUGAGAGGAUGAUCCGCCACACUGGGACUGAGACACGGCCCAGACUCCUACGGGAGGCAGCAGUGGGGAAUUUUGGACAAUGGGCGCAAGCCUGAUCCAGCCAUGCCGCGUGUCUGAAGAAGGCCUUCGGGUUGUAAAGGACUUUUGUCUG
rnacentral:rRNA from 1 species